rnacentral:rRNA from 1 species
GCAUAGAUAUGACACAGAACACCGAUAGCGAAGGCAGCUCACUAAGCUGUGACUGACGCUCAUGCACGAAAGCGUGGGGAGCAAACAGGAUUAGAUACCCUGGUAGUCCACGCUGUAAACGAUGAUCACUCGCUGUUGGCGAUAUACAGUCAGCGGCUAAGCGAAAGUAUUAAGUGAUCCACCUGGGGAGUACGAUCGCAAGGUUGAAACUCAAAGGAAUUGACGGGGGCCCGCACAAGCGGAGGAGCAUGUGGUUUAAUUCGAUGAUACGCGAGGAACCUUACCUGGGCUUAAAUGUUGGACGAUCGUUCCGGAAACGGGACUUUCCUUUUGGACGUCCAGCAAGGUGCUGCAUGGUUGUCGUCAGCUCGUGCCGUGAGGUGUCGGGUUAAGUCCCAUAACGAGCGCAACCCCUAUUCUUAGUUGCCAUCAGGUAAUGCUGGGGACUCUAAGAAAACUGCCUACGCAAGUAGUGAGGAGGGUGGGGAUGACGUCAAAUCAGCACGGCCCUUAUGUCCAGGGCUACACACGUGCUACAAUGGUCGGUACAGAGGGCAGCUAUAUGGUGACAUAGUGCUAAUCUCGAAAAUCGGCCUCAGUUCGGAUCGAAGUCUGCAACUCGACUUCGUGAAGCUGGAUUCGCUAGUAAUCGCGCAUCAGCCAUGGCGCGGUGAAUACGUUCCCGGGCCUUGUACACACCGCCCGUCAAGCCAUGGAAGUUGGGGGUACCUAAAGUCCGUUACCGCAAGGAGCGGCCU